CUACGGGAGGCAGCAGUAGGGAAUCUUCCGCAAUGGACGAAAGUCUGACGGAGCAACGCCGCGUGAACGAAGAAGGCCUUCGGGUCGUAAAGUUCUGUUGUUAGGGAAGAACAAGUACCAGAGUAACUGCUGGUACCUUGACGGUACCUAACCAGAAAGCCACGGCUAACUACGUGCCAGCAGCCGCGGUAAU
rnacentral:rRNA from 1 species